GCCACUGUAGUUCAGGGGAGUGAGCAGGACGGUCCUAACAUCAAGGUCGGGGAUUCGAUUUCCCUCCGGGGCACCA
rnacentral:tRNA from 1 species